ensembl:lncRNA
CUGGGCACUUGAGGUCAGGAGCCUCUGCAGCAGGAGCCUUCUGAAGGUGUUUUGAAGGAGACUGGCAAGGCGGAGAUCGCUGCUCAGAUCCUGGAGCCGCUCGGAAGAUGAGUCAAAGGAUUCCUGAAACAAUUAGAGCCGUGAGGUGCAGCAGCAACAGCACAUCCACCGUCAGCAGCUCUGCCAGGCGCCCUCGGCCAGCUGUUCGUGCUUUCCCUUUAAUAAGGCACAUUAGGCAAUUUCCCAUUGAAAAAUGUUUAUGGGAAUAUAUAAAUAUUCUCUUCUACAGAACUUGCCUGGCCCUUUGUGCGCCGAGCGGUGGCGAGAGUGACUUGAAUUGUUAUAAGUCUAUCGAGACAGCUGAGAUGGAGCCUUCAGCACGGUGGGAUGGAUGUCUCAGAGCCCCCUCAGAGACUGAGUCCCCCGGUGCCAGGAUGGGACACCUCGCUCCGUGGCACAAAGUGCCCCACCGAGCAGGACAGGCCACCACAGGCUGCGUCACGUCCCCUGGUGCCCAGCCACAGGCAGCGUGGGCAGGGUUUUCCCUCCUGUGAUUUCCCGAUGGCCACAGGAAAGAGCUUGCACAGACCCGAUCUGGAUUUAAUCAAAGGAAUUUUUUUUUUUUUUCAUUUGCUGUCUUAUGUGCUGACCACCAAACCACAUCCUUCGAGCCUGAGCCCAGCACAGUGAAACAAAAACUAGGCCAGGGCUUUUUGCUAUUUUUUUUCCUUUUUUUUUUCCCCUUAGUGCAUCAGUCGGGUGCAAAGCUGGCACACAGGUCUCCUCCAGCCCCUCUGCUCCCACACAGCCCCUUCCCAGGGCAGCCUGGCAUUUCCACCCGCCCUGAGCCAGGCACUUGCAGCUCCACGUGAAACCUGGGAACUAUCCAGAUUAUGUGCGCUGAGCACAGUGGCAGUGGGAAGCAAAUACAGAGGAAUAAUGAGCAACGAUGUGCUGGCAGACCAUGGCAGGACCUAAUAAGGCACAAGGUGGGGACUGUCCUUGGCUGUCACCCGACUCUUGCUUGGUGCAGCCUGACUGAGGGCUCAGAGCAAACCAGAGCAGCCCCAGUGAGCCCCUGGCGCUGGUGGGAGCAGUGGCUGUGGUGUGACACCGUCCCUGGCAGCAUCCCACAGCACCCAGGGGCGAGGUGCCUGCGUAGGGAAGUUCUCACGUUCGCAGAACAGAGAGCAGCUUUAUUGUUGUAUUUUGCAAACCAAAACCAGCCGGGAGUUUCUGAAGCGUCUGCCAUCCCCGCAGAGAGCUGUUUAGUCAUGCCUGUGACAGACAGUCGCACAGCUUGCCAGCCGCCGAGCUGCCACGUUUCCAGGCUCGGGGACUCCUCCAGGGUGAAGGAGGAAAGAAGUGAGGAGGACACAGAGAAAUCCUUCCUUUGCCUCCUCGGUUUUUUUAGUGACUGUUUCUACUGUGGCAGUACCAAAAGUGCUGCGUAAAGUGACAGGAGGACUGUUACAGGCUGCGGCAGGCUCAGGAACCAGUUAUUUCAUGUCCUCUCUUUAGAGGUGAGCGCUAAUCUUACCCUUUCCUUUAAGAGGCUGUAACACAAGAAGACACUUAUUUGUACCUGCUGUCAUCUGCCUCUUCCUUUCGGUAUUAUUUUAAGUGAGCCUUGAAAGAGCAGGGCUGGAAAGAGCCCCCAGCUGCCUGCUGGCACUGCGCAGUGAGGCUCCCGUUUGUCCUCACAGGCUCAGAUUCCCCAGAUCCAACAGCUUCUCCCUCCCUCCACAAGGAGGAUCCUCACCUGGGAGGCACCACAGCCUCUAAGACAUUUUAUAAUAGUUUUCAUUAUUACAUUUUUCAUUAUUAAAUGAAAAUAUUAUUUAUUUUAUAAAUAUGAUAUAUUUCUAAAUAAUAUCAUAAAUAUUAUAUAUUAAAUAAAC